AUUGAACGCUGGCGGCAUGCCUAACACAUGCAAGUCGAGCGGAUGAAGGGAGCUUGUUCCUGGAUUCAGCGGCGGACGCGUGCGUAAUGCCUAGGAAUCUUCCUCGUAGUGGUCGAUAACGUCCGGAAACGGGCGCUAAUACCUCAUACGUCCUGCGGUCGAAAGUGGGGGAUCUUCGGACCUCACGCUAUCAGAUGAGCCUAGGUCGGAUUCGCUAGUUGGUGGGGUAAAGGCCUACCAAGGCGACGAUCCGUAACUGGUCUGAGAGGAUGAUCAGUCACACUGGAAGGGGGACACGGUCAAGACUCCUACGGGAGGCAGCAGUGGGGAAUAUUGGACAAUGGGGGAAAGCCUGAUCCAGCCAGGCGGCGUGUGUGAAGAAGGUCUCCGGAUUGUAAAGCACGUUAAGUUGGGAGGAAGGGCAGUAAGUUAAUACCUUGCUGUUUUGACGGUACCAACAGAAUAAGCACCGGCUAACUUCGUG
rnacentral:rRNA from 1 species